rnacentral:tRNA from 1 species
GUGGUGGCUCAGUGGUAGAGUGCCUGCCUAGCAUGUGCGAGGCACUGGGUUCACUUCUCAGCACCACA